rnacentral:rRNA from 1 species
AAAGUUAAACGGCCGCGGUAUCCUGACCGUGCAAAGGUAGCAUAAUCACUUGUUCCUUAAUUAGGGACUAGCAUGAAUGGCUAAACGAGGAUUCAACUGUCUCUUAUUCCCAAUCAGUGAAAUUGACCUUCCAGUGAAGAGGCUGGAAUAAUAAAAUAAGACGAGAAGACCCUAUGGAGCUUAAAUUAACUAGCUUAAUUAUUAUAAUAUAACCUAAUGGGCCAACAUAAAAAAAAAUAAGCUAGAAAUUUCGGUUGGGGUGACCUCGGAGAAUAAAAAAUCCUCCGAAUGAUUUUAGCAUAGACUAACAAGUCAAAGCAACAUUACAAAUCUUAUUGACCCAAAUCUAUUUUGAUCAACGGACCAAGUUACCCUAGGGAUAACAGCGCAAUCCUAUUUAAGAGUUCAUAUCGACAAUUAGGGUUUACGACCUCGAUGUUGGAUCAGGACAUCCCAA